rnacentral:rRNA from 1 species
GUCUACGGCCAUGCCACCCUGAAUAAGCCGGAUCCCAUCUGAUCUCAGAAGCUAAGCAAGGUCAGGCCUGGUUAGUACUUGGAUGGGAGACCACAUAGGAAAGCCAGGUGCUGUAGGCG